rnacentral:rRNA from 1 species
AUUGAACGCUGGCGGCAGGCCUAACACAUGCAAGUCGAACGCGUGGCGGACGGGUGAGUAAUGUCUGGGACACUGCCUGAUGGAGGGGGAACACUACUGGAAACGGUAUCUAAUCCCGUAUACCAUCGGAUGUCCCCAGAUGGGAUUGGAUAGUAGGUGGGGUAAAGGCUCACCUAGGCGACGAUCCCUAGCUGGUCUGAGAGGAUGACCAGCCACACUGGAACUGAGACACGGUCCAGACUCCUACGGGAGGCAGCAGUGGGGAAUAUUGCACAAUGGGCGCAAGCCUGAUGCAGCCAGGCCGCGUGUAUGAAGAAGGCCUUCGGGUUGUAAAGUACUUUCAGCGGGGAGGCGUUACCCGCAGAAGAAGCACCGGCUAACUCCGUGCCAGCAGCCGCGGUAAUUC